GGGGAAUAUUGCGCAAUGGGGGCAACCCUGACGCAGCAAUACCGCGUGAGUGAAGAAGGUUUUCGGAUCGUAAAGCUCUGUUAUUGGGGAAGAAAAAAGACGGUACCCAAGAAGAAAGUCCCGGCUAACUACGUGCCAGCAGCCGCGGUAAUACGUAGGGGACAAGCGUUGUCCGGAUUUACUGGGCGUAAAGGGCACGCAGGCGGUUUUUUAAGUCAGAUGUGAAAGGUACCGGCUCAACCGGUGACAUGCAUUUGAAACUGAAAGACUUGAGUAUUGGAGAGGCAAGUGGAAUUCCUAGUGUAGCGGUGAAAUGCGUAGAUAUUAGGAGGAACACCGGUGGCGAAGGCGGCUUGCUGGACAAAUACUGACGCUGAGGUGCGAAAGCGUGGGGAGCAAAC
rnacentral:rRNA from 1 species